CUUUGGCGAAAGCGGUGCAGUCCAACACAGCGUCUCAAAGCGUUAGCUGCCUCAAGGCUGAGUGGGAGCAACUGGCAUGUUCUCGCUCGUGACGCACAGGAAAGACAGUGGCGAGUCUGCGGCCUAAUGCAAACUGCCGUGCCUUCGCUCGUGCCAUGAGACGUGGCGCUUGCGCAGGUCGUCUCAAAGAUGCGGCUGGCGUUGGCGCGAAAGGUGUAUGCGUGCGAUCGUAACGGUUGGAGCAUCGGGUUGCUGUAGUGGGAACGAGUCAAACGUUCGAUCGCGCUUUCGGACACGUGAACUUUUUUCUCGUUAUUGAAGAGGCCCGAAACGAUGCGAGACAGGAACGUACGCCUGCCACAAAGUGCCUGGCGGGAGGCAAAGAAUGCUUCGCAUUAAAACGCCGUCGACUUGCGGGCGUUGCGCUGAAUGCCGUAAGAUCAACAGCUUCACUUGAAAGGGGGGAAUUGAGGCUUGUAAAUGACGGGCAGUAUUCUGAGAGGAGUGAUUUUUUUUUUUUUUUUUUUGAGCGCCGAGGCUGUUCACUACCGCAGUUCGCUCCAGAAGUGAAUUUAUGGAGUCUGGAAUAUGUGGCCUUCAGUCGGAACGCCUCCUAUCGCUAAGCUUUGGCGCUCCUUUGUACCUGGCAGCGCCGCAAGAUCGCACAUUGGGGCCAUACGAUUCCUCGUUUCAAUCCCCUCUGGCAAUUUUUUUUAUGUUUGGUUUCGUUUGCUUAGCAGGCAGGAGGAUGUUUUUGCACUUCUGGAGACACUUGUCUUCUACGCAUUACGUUAUUUUUUUACUCUUUACGAGGAAGCUUUAACGCAUCUAAAUACAUGAAAACGGAGAAACGGUUUUUCUCUGCAACCACUGCACCAAAUUUGAUGAGGUAUGUCGCAUUUAAAAUAAAAAAUAAGAUUUAAUUACUGCACGAAGCGUAUCAUUAUUAGGGCCGUGAAUUUUUAUAAUAUUGUUGAAAAUUGCAAAAUUUUAAAAACUGAGUACUUAUUUAUUUAUUUAUUUAUUUACCCUCAGAGCCUUUCGGCAUUGAAGAGGGAAACCCUAAUGUACGGCGUUUACAACUAUACGCACUUCAGCAAGAAAAAAGCUAUAUCACAAUUCUGUAAACGGCACCUAGCAACGCAUCUAUAGAGCGAACAAAAUCGAUGUAUUAUACACCGCGUUGAAGUAUACCACUAAGUUGUGAAAGUAGGACUUUUGCUGAACCCUUGUAAACGUCGUAACACCUGCAGGUCGGCUGUAAAUUGAUAUAUCAAAUUUUGUCCGCUCACAUAUACAUAUGUAUUACCUUCAAGUAGGCACCACUCAUUUGACCCGGACAAGGCUUUGAAACAACAUUCGUACUGAGUUUGCGGUGGUGUUCCGCGUGCGUGUUUUGGCUGUUGAAUCCGCGGGGAUGUCGGCCGUUCAAGGCCACUUGUGUGGAGUGUGGCGACGCUUUCUUGAUAUGUGAAAGAAGUGCGAGCUUAGAGCCGUGACGUUUAACGAUAGCAGACUGGCAGCCCCCUAAUUACAUUGAAGGCGGGAAACCGCAAGGGGAGCGUCGGUUUACUAGCGUGACAUCACGGCUCUGCGACGGUGCCUUUUGUUAUCAAGAUUUUGAGGUCAUGUCUCGUGUUUGACGGCGAGAAACCGGGAGAUAGAUGAGGCGUCGAGGGUCAGGCGUAAUCUCACCGCUGUUUCAAACAAUCAGUCACACUUCAAGACCAUCUCUGGGUGUCGGCUGACGAGGAUCCUUUGCGGGAUGUAGCUGGCCGGUAUCGAAAGAAAAGCGGGAAUGGUUUGUGACCGCACGAAAGCCCACAUAGCCGGAGCGACCUGACGUAAAAAGUGGCUUAGUGAUGCCUUUAAGGAGGAUUCGUCACCGACGUCGGCUGCGCGUCGAAGCCCUGGUUAGAGGGCACUGUAUCUGCCUGGUCUUACGGCUGCUUCGGGGCUCCCACGCAAGAGUCAUCAACCAUCCGAUGUCAGAAAUGCUUUAUGUCUGCAAGAACAAACAAACAAUAAACAUUAAUUGAAGCACGUCUACAAACACCGCAUUUUCGCAAGCUAUGAGAAGCAAUGAGACAAACGGAACUGUUCAGCUAAUAUGGUCAAACAAUGUGCAGGGGCCUUUUGUUGGUGCUACCCAACAAGCAAGGCAUAUCAUUUAAGCAUCAUAAAAACACUGGCGAGGUGAGUGCCGCGAGCGGCAUUGCUACCGUCGAAAUGUCAUGAUGCACGACGUGAGGCUGCAAAAAACGGCGACGUUUGUAACUUCCACUUUAAUGCGCGUUCCCCUGAAGUAAGAUAAUGCAUGUACAGAACUGGCAAGCACGAACGCUUGUUUCGAUCGCGAGUACCGAAAGCUUGGACGCUACUGUGUCCUUACUGAAGAGUAUUGGGCUGGACGUGACGAUGCGUCUUCUACGAUUCAACGUAUAAUUGCAGCCAGCGGCCCCUCUCUUUGCCUUUGCAGCCAAACGCGCGUCGUGUCUGUUGCGUCUCGGGAACAAUGUUUUCAUGGUAUAGGUUGCUGGGUGAAUAAAAAUUUACCAAUUCGUAUACACACGUCAAAACUCAUAAAAUGGACCGACUCUCGUACAUGCAGUUCCUCAGCGCGAAGUUCUCAUAUGGUACCCAGGUACUGCCGUCGCCACAUGAUGACGUCGUUUUUCUCGUAGAGCGCACGAUUUCGUUUCAGUUUGCGAAAGGAAAAGCCGAUAUCAUUAAGAAUCCUUUGCAUCGUUCGCACGCUCAUUUAGGCAUGUUCAUGUCACUGCCACUGGCGACAUCUUCAGCGAGUUUUGCAGCUGUCGGAAUUUCAUUUUGCAGAAAGUAUUGAUGCACUUUUCUUCGUAGAGCUGCGAGGGAGAAGCUGUCACGAAGUUGCAGCUUUGUCCUCCCGGUUUUUGCACGGGCAUUUAUGGCUGGGAGACGCAGGUGCUUGCGCACGGCGACUUCAAGGUGCCACUGUUUAUGUCGAGCUUAAUCCGAAAGACGCUGCGUUCGCUAACACCAGUGAGCUAGCUGACCUUCCGACAUGUGGCCCUCCCAGAUAGCUGUGGGUUGUUUUUCCUUACUUGCGCGUAAACGUUGUACACCAGUUUCUUGUCCUGUACGGUGUUAGGGUUAGCGUCUGGCACCACGCGUUGAAAAGAAUUUCAACCGACCAUCUCACCCUGCCUCGUCGAAAUGAAGCGUGACUUUCUAAUUCGCCAUGGCCGUUUCGAGUGUCUGCCUGUCUGCCGGAAGCCCCGCGGUGUACAGGCCUCUUUUGUGUGUGUAUGUGUGUGUGGGUGUGCAAGUUUAGAGAGACCCUUUUCUCGAAUUGGACCUAGAGAACUUCCACGAACCCGCAACGCGCAGAAGAGGCGGACAGGCGUCUACAAUUCCAGGAGGCGGGACGACUUCUUCCUUUCAGCAGGCUCGGUAUAACCAGAAUAGGAGGGGCCCUCUUUGUGUGCCGGUCACGUGACGUCGACGGAAGCAAGAUCCCGCCCACGAUUGUAGAGAGCCUAUUUAAGGGGCUCCGAAAUGUACUUUUAAGCUCUUCACAAUUUCUUUCA